AAAGGAAUUGACGGGGCCCCGCACAAGCAGCGGAGCAUGCGGCUUAAUUCGACGCAACGCGAAGAACCUUACCAAGGCUUGACAUAUACAGGAAUAUGGCAGAGAUGUCAUAGCCGCAAGGUCUGUAUACAGCUGGUGCAUGGUUGUCGUCAGCUCGUGUCGUGAGAUGUUGGGUUAAGUCCCGCAACGAGCGCAACCCUCGUUCUGUGUUGCCAGCAUUUAGUUGGGGACUCACAGGAGACUGCCGGGGUUAACUCGGAGGAAGGUGGGGAUGACGUCAAAUCAUCAUGCCCCUUAUGUCUUGGGCUGCACGCAUGCUACAAUGGCUGGUACAAACGGCUGCGAUACCGCAAGGUGGAGCGAAUCCGAUAAAGCCAGUCUCAGUUCGGAUUGGGGUCUGCAACUCGACCCCAUGAAGUCGGAGUUGCUAGUAAUCGUAGAUCAGCAACGCUACGGUGAAUACGUUCCCGGGGCUUGUACACACCGCCCGUCACGUCACGAAAGUCGGUAACACCCGAAGUCAGUGGCCCAACCGCAAGGAGGGAGCUGCCGAAG
rnacentral:rRNA from 1 species